GGGGCUGUGGCUUAGUGGUAGAGCACUUGCCUAGCAUGUAUGAGGCACUAGGUUCCAUCCUCAGCAUCA
rnacentral:tRNA from 1 species